rnacentral:rRNA from 1 species
UACAGAGGUCUCAAGCGUUGUUCGGAAUCACUGGGCGUAAAGGGUGCGUAGGCUGCACGGUAAGUCAGGUGUGAAAGCCCGGAGCUCAACUCCGGAAUUGCACCCGAUACUGCCGUGCUUGAGGACUGGAGAGGAGUCUGGAAUUCACAGUGGAGCAGUGAAAUGCGUAGAUAUUGUGAGGAACACCAGUGGCGAAGGCGGCCGGCUGGGGGUGACCUGACGCUGAGGCGCGAAAGCGUGGGGAGCGAACCGG